UUCCCUCCUUCCCUCUGUGUUUGGAGUAGCCUACUCUGUUCUUAAAAUUCAGAUUUUUGCCUCAAGCCCCUCUUUCCAUCCAUUUUCUGGAAUUACAGGUAUAUUCUGUAAAGGUGGCAAGAGAUCUAUUUCCUGAAGGUACCUUAAUAUGAAGAAAAUUAGGGUCCUCAGGCAUACUUCUGUGGUGAAACUAGACAACACUUAGCUGAACCCAAAGGGCAAUAGCAUGGUUGCUCCCUGCCUCUGUCUACCUUGGAAUGGCAAUAUAGGAAGACACAGGGAACUGUAACCUGGGAGGAAGACAGAGUUCUAAGGAGAGUAGAAGGAAGGAGACAAAAUGGUUACCAGCUUAUCAUCACUGGAAACGUAUCUUAAAAUGAAUUUCAGGGAGGAAGCCAUGCUCAGCUCGAGCGCCAAGAUUGUGAAGCCCAAUGGCGAGAAGCAGGAUGAGCUUGAGUCUGGCAUUUCUCAGGCACUGCUCCAAUUGGAGAUGAACUCAGAUCUCAGGGUGCAGCUGUGGGAACUCAACAUCACUGCGGCCAAGGAAAUGGAAGUUGGUGGUGGUCAGAAAGCUAUCAUAAUUUUUGUACUGCUUCCUCGGCUGAAAUCUUUCCAGAAAAUCCAAGUCGGGCUAGUUCGUGAAUUGGAGAAGAAGUUCAGUAUGAAGCAUGUAGUCUUCAUUGCUCAGAGGAGGAUUCUGCCCGAGUCAACACGGAAAAAAACCGUAUGGAAAAUAAGCAAAAGCGCCACAGAAGCCGCAACCCAACGCCAUCCUUGAGGGCGUGGUCUUCCCAAGUGAAAUUGUAAGAAGACCCGUGUGAAACUGAAUCAAAGCACAGCACUACAACAUUGAGCACAAGGCUGAAACUUUUUCUGGUGUGUACAAGACGCUCACAGGUAAGGAUGUUAAUUUUGAAUUCCCAGAGUUUCAGUUGUAAAGCAAAUGACUGAAUAAAGUGUCACUCAUAGCAAACGAAACAAAACAAAACAAAACACCCCAACUGAUUCCCACGGGAAAGUUGUUCUGAGAUUCUGAUGACAACUUGACGUCAAUUUUACAGCAUGCUCCACUAGCCUGGGUGUCUGCAUUGUGAUUUUUUUUUUACUAUUAGACCCCAAACAAUGGCAUAGUAUCACAGCCAAGUUAGGAAAGAUUGCUCAACAAAGUAGAGCUGGAUUUUUGUAUUCUUGCUUCUCCAUCUGUGGAUAGAAAAUAUUAAGAAAAAAUAUGUUUGUACCGAAGAUGUAAAGGUCUCUCUUUUUAAAAAUAAAACAUCAUUGCCAAAUCAACAUAUUAUAAAAAAAA